UCCUGACUUCUAUUUCACUGACAGAGCAGAGUCUUUGAUUCUGGUCUGACAUACACCUAGAUAAAUCCACCAAGGUGAGCAGAACUGCACAGGUAUCAACCAAAAAGAAAUUGACCCGGAUCUGGCUUUGUGUACAUGAAUAACGUGCAGUAAGAAUGCACCAUGAUUUUUGCAGAAAAUUGUUCAUCCUGUUCAAGAGUGCACAUCCACAGGGACCAGAAGUCAUACCAGCUCUCUGUACACAGCCCACACCAGAGGGAGGGUGAGAAAUAAACUUAACAAUCCCAGGGCAUGGAAGUAAGACUGGAUUCAGGAUGGACUGUCUAGACCUUCGCUUCUCCAAUGUGGACAAAGAAGCUAGAUGUAUUUUUGGUUUCCCAGGAGGACCCAGCAUGGAUCCAGGUUCCAGAUUUCUUUUCACAGGCACAUAUCUGGAAACUUACUAUUGAGAAAUGAUUCUUCACAUUACAAAUGCCUCCUGUGCUGUCCGUAUGUGCUGCCUGGCAAAAUCUUCUGAGCUUUAAGAAAACUCAGUCACGCUAUUUCCAAGCACCGUACCCCGAGGCUUGCCUUUCCUACAUCUCCAGUAGAACAAUAACUCCCUCUGGUGUUUGCCUGCUAUUGUUACUGCCUCAGUCACAGCCCUCGGAAACCCUGCCAGAGAGAUGUGCUUACUCUAAACCCUCUUUCAUUCGAGGAUGGUAUUUGACGCUUUGGACAGGCAGAACGGCGCCCCUCAGGGCCACCCGGCCCCGGAGGAACCCGUGUCUGCAGGGGAACAUCCCUGCAUCGUGACAAGGGUUUUGCCAAACUGUGUCUGCCAAGUGGUUCACAGUGCCAAAGGCUCAUUAACAUGCUGCCUGCAUUUAUUUCAUUGCACAAACAGUAAGCUUAUUGCAAUUUGUCUGGAUGCUUUAUCUGAUGAAUACUGGAAC